rnacentral:rRNA from 1 species
UACGGAAGGGUGCAAACGUUGCUCGGAAUUAUUGGGCGUAAAGCGCACGUAGGCGGCUUUGCAAAGUCGGAUGUGAAAUCCCUCGGCUUAACCAAGGAAGUGCAUCCGAAACUGCAGAGCUUGAGUACUUAAGAGGAUCGCGGAAUUCCCGGUGUAGAGGUGAAAUUCGUAGAUAUCGGGAGGAACACCAGUGGCGAAGGCGGCGAUCUGGGAAGAUACUGACGCUGAGGUGCGAAAAGCGUGGGGAGCAAACGGG